rnacentral:lncRNA from 1 species
ACCAUUUCUGUGGACAGGGCCAGGAGGCUGGAAAACCUAUGAGGCAGAUGGUGUAUCUGCCCCUUUAAACUUGGCCAGAGAGAAACUCUGCUUCCUAGAUGGCAACAGCAAUACCACCUCUAGCUGCUGGCUCCACUGGUGGAACAUUCUCACACAAUGGUGGGGGGGGGCACAGAAAUGGGCAGGAGAAGGGUGUUUAGAGCAUGAAAAGGUUCAGGAAGGGUUUUGUUCUCUUCCAAAAAAGGACUGAACCAGCAGAGCCUAGAAAUUCCCCUUCACAAACCAGUAGUGUUGAGAACACAGAUGAGGGAUGCUGUAAAUUUAGCAUUGACUGUCCCUCAUCUGGACCAUAAGAGGUCUGGUGAUGCCUUAACCUCGUCCUCAUCGCUGAAAUGUAUGUGGCAAAUGCUGUGACUGAAAAUUCCUCGGGAACGCAGCUGGGAAGAAGGCUGGACCCUCACUCUGUGUGGGGUUUUGCGGCUGAAGCCAAGACACAUCUGGGAGGUUGCUCUCGGGGUGACAAGAAGGCACACAAGAGCAUCCAAGGAUGGGGGGCCUGCACUGGUGUGAGAGUCAGUGUCCUACUGCCCCCCAAAUCCUUCCCACCCGUCUCCCCCUGACUUUGGCAAAAACAAAAUGUCAAGUAAUAGGGAGGAAUAUUGGUCCACACACUUGAUUGUAUGAGAGAUGGCAUAUGGAGUCAUUUACUUGAAUUUAAAUCUGACUAAGAGUCCCUUGCCCGCCAGUCUGGUGGGGAAUCCAACCAGUCAUUCCUCACCCAUAACCCUUUAGGGUUGUGCACCAGUCCCCAGGGAUGCUUCUGUGCCCAAAAUAUUGGUGAGGCUCCUCCAGCACACACUGCCCACGGCUCUGAACCCUCCUCAUGACCUUGAAAUCCAACCUCACUGUGACUUUCUCACCACCUUAGAGGGGGGCUUGGGCACUGCAAGCCCACUCCACCAGAAUCUGGGUCUUGCCCUCCUAGGUGUGCCAUCCCCUCCAAAGUCUUGCCAGGCCCCCCACAGGCACUGUCUGGAAGAGGGGCAGAAGUUCCCAUGCUUUGAGGAGAUCUCUGACCACCCCUCCCCCUCCCUUCCCAGAAAAAAGGAAUCCCUCCUCUCUCUUCUCUCACCUCUUUCCCCUCCAAAGUCCUAGCCUCCUUCCUUCCUCCCUCCAAGAAAACCAGGAGACUGUCUGCAUGAGUUUAAGGCAGUGACCUCAACUGGAAGCCAGCAGGACAAAAAAUUCUGCAGAUACGAUAUAAAUAGUGGACAAGGCAGAUGGAGAUCCAGUGUACAGGGAGCUUACAUUCUAUUUUCUGUUGGGGACAUAGAGACAGGCAUGGGGAGGGUAAGUAAUCACAUGCAAACCAGUGACAAACAGGAUCCUUUCAGGCAGGGCUGAGUGGCUAGAAUAAAACAUACCAAGGGGACAGGAGGGAGGGUAAGAAUGCUCCUAGGUCAGGGAAGUUUCUCCAUGAAGGUGUCAUGUGAGCUGAAGCCUGAAUGACAAGGAGCUCAGUGCAUGGAGAUCUAUGGGAAGAGCAUGGGGGAGGGCGGGACACCCAAAGUUCAAAACCCAAAUUGGGUACAACCUGACUUUUAGGAGUAACAGACAAAAGGCCAGUGGGACCACUGACUUGACUUCAGAGUUGGGGUUAGGGGUUUGCAUUCAGGGAAAGAAGGACUCUCAAGAGGGAACAUUUCUGCAGAGGAGAUAAGUGAGUCCUGGAAUAAUGCAGCAGGUUGCAGUCCAUGGAGAGAGGUGGCCAAUUAGGGACACUCCAGCCAUGAAGAAGCAUGGCCAACGGACUCUAGAAGUACUGACAACCACUCUGGGGUAUUAAGUUUCCAUUUUAUGGGUUAUAAUUUUCUUGUGGUAUCAUCAGGCCCUGGGGGAAAUUCCAUCACAUAGCUAUAGCCUUGAAUUAGCUAUCUGGGGGCAAUGAAGUCCAGGCUGUGUUCUUGUUUGGAGGACUAGGCCAUAGUGAGCUCCGCAGACAUGGCUACAACAAGCCUAACGUGAUCAGAAGAGCAAACCAGUCAGACGGAGCUGUGAGAAGCCUAGAUGACUGGAGGGACAUGUGGGCACUCCUUGGUGAUUCUCAGAAACACAUGGGGAAGGAACAGGAUUCCUGAGACAUGCAGGGUAGGGCUCAGACCAUGGCAGCAAGUUAUUAACAGUAAUGACUGCUGAUGGCUAGAAGGUCUCUUAAAAGAGCAGAAGCAGAUGGAUGGAUGAGAUAUGGAUCAUUUUUGGAAAAAUAGAAUUGGAUCUCUAACACAAAAUAGCCUUCUCUCAAGAACUUCCUUUGCUGGAGUUCCCACUGUGGCAUAGUGGGUUAAGAAUCCAACUGCAGUGGCUCAGAGUCACUGAGGAGGAGCAAGUUUGAUCCCAGGCUGGGCACAGUGAGUUAAAGAUAGCUAUAGCUUGCCAUAGCUGUGAUGUAGGUCUCAGGUGCAGCUCAGAUUCAAUCCCUGGCCCGGGAGCUUCCAUAUGUCACAGGGGCAGCCAUAAAAAAGAAAGAAAGAAAAAGAGAGAGAAAGAGAGAGAGAGAAAGGAAGGAAGGAAGGAAGGGAUUAUUAAUUCCCUUGCUAAAUUAUCUCAAAAGCUGUUAUAAUUAAGUUGCCUGUCCAAAGCGCUGACCAGAACAGCAGUAUGUCCCAUCUUGUACCUGGCUAUACUGCUCUUCCUGCAGGCACCACCUCAACUGGCCAAGCUGGCUUAGAGGACCUGAUAAAUUUCCUGAUACAAUACCAAGGGUGAGACCAAAGAGAUGGAUGGGAGUAGUCGGCUGGCAUAAAGCCCUGGAAAGGCCUGGCAUAGGAGGGGGGAUGGGCAAGAUGACUUUUCAAAAUUCAUACUAUAAACUAUCAUCAAUUAUUCACUCAAUAGCCUUGGGAAGCAAUGGCGACUCCUCAUGCAGCUUAUGUUCUAACAGGAGAAAACAGAUCAUAAACAAUAAAAGCAUAAUAAAAACUCAAUCAUAUGAUGUGAUGGAGAGAGAUAAACGCUUUAGAAAGAAAAUGUAGAAGAAGAUAAGGGAAAUCAGAGUACCAGGAAGACGGCCCAUGGCAUUUCUAAUACUGUGGUCAGAACAUGGCAGCAUUUGAGUAAAACAUGAAGGAGACAAGGGAGAAGAACAUUUUAGGCGGAGGGAACAGCCAGUGCAAAGGACCUUGGAUGGGAGGUGUGUGACUGGUACAUUUCAAGAACAGCCAAGAGGCCAGUGUGUCUGGGCUAUCAGAGGGAGCAGGCUAAAGAGGUGACAGAGCCUGCCAUGUAGGGCCCUGUAAACUGCUAUUACAACUUGGGACCCACCAGCUGGUGCAGAAACUGCAAUGAGCUCCAUUACAGCGAGGGCCACACAUUUUCAUGUCUGCCUCCCCAACACCUGGCCCAUUCCCUGCAUCCAGCAAAUACUUGUUGAGUGAAUCACUGAAUAUGAAAUGAGUUUUUUAUCACAUCCUGGUACAGGGGCCAGUGCUGAGUCACCAAUAUGGCCCCCACUUCCCUGCCUUCCUCCAGUGCUGCAAACAUCCUGGAUGCAAUGUCAGAUGCUAUCUUCACCACCCAAAGGUGUGUUGUCACCCUCCCUAAAGGAAGACAUUGCUUCUCCCCAGAGACCACAUUAUUUGACAUUCUUGGAGAAAAGGAUGGAGAAUGUAGCUCAUUGUGACCAAAUGAAACAAAUCAGCCGGUCAACUUUACCUCCAGGCCCUGCAUCCCUGGCUCCACCUUUCCAGGCUCUGCGUCAGCCCAGCCUGCACCCCGACCCCACCUCCCCCGCACCACAGAGUCCAUUCCCUGAGCACUGCAGAUUUCCUCAGAAAGGAAUUCCUGUGCAGAGUCCAGCCAUGUGUAAUACAAGGCACACUAAUAAGCAAGGGAGGCAGGUAUACUCAUUUUUUUGUUGUUUUUUUUUUUUGGUUUUUUUUUGGUUUUUUUUUUUUUGAGGCCGUACAGGUCAGCAUACCAAAAUUUUUCCAGAGCCUAAAGUGUCAGCCUAAUAAUUGAAAGGAAAAAAGGGAUGAUCACAGCCCUGUUCCCCUACCCAACUCCUACCCUUCCAUGCCACCCGAAAACCAGGGCCCCACAGGCCUGUGAGAGAUAAGGGGUCAGCUCAGGCCAGCAUGUUCUUAUGGGAGCUCUCUCCCAGAAAUGAGCAGAGUGACACCCCUGGCCCAGGGCUAUCCCUCCCGGGAACUAGAUAUGACUGGACUGGGCAACCUGUAAUGAAGCUUUGCAAAUGCUUCUCCAACAAUGAGGCCCCACCACUGUUGUCCUCUGACACUCAGAGCUGCAGUAAUCUCCCUCCCCAGACUUACUAAAAGCUCCCCUGAACUUUCCCUCAGUCCUUGCUGCUCUAGCACCUGCCAGCCCUGCAGGAACAUCCCUGCCUGUGGACCCAGAAUCAGGGAACAAACAACGUGAAGGAAUGUAAACGUGCUCUAGAAAGGUAAACACUUCAGACAGAAGUUACUCAAGAGGUUAGCAGGAUCACCAGACGCCUUAAAAUAUACAUCUGUUCCUAUUGUAGCUCAGCAUGUUAAGACCCCGAUUAGUAUCCAUGAGGAUGCAGGUUUGAUCCCUGGCCUUGCUCAGUGGGUUAAGGAUUCAGCAUUGCUGUGACUGCAGCCGAAGCUCCGAUUCAACCCCUGGCCUGGGAACCUCCAUAUGCCUCAGGUAGAGCCCUAAAAAGAGAAAAAAAUGUAUAUAUAUAUAUGAACACACAUAUAAAAAGGUGUAUACACACACACAUACACGCAUAUACAUACACAUGUCUUUGGCUCAAAGCCCUGUUUUAUAUCCUAGGGAAAAAUCUACUGCCAGCCUUGAGAUUUCUGCAAAUUGCAAGGGAACCUAUAUCCUCCCCUCACCUCUGGCUCCAAUUUCCUGCCCUCACUGAAAUCUCAUUCCCUGCUCUCCAUAAUUCCGCACCUUUUUCACCCAACCCUAUCCCCUAACCUAAAAGCAAUCAUUUUUACAAGCAUUGUACAUUAGCCGAAUUUUUAUUGACGGUUUGUAGGUCAUGAGGGAUGGGUUACAUUUUCUCACCACACAGCAAACAACCCAACACCUGAUACUAGAUGUCCCAUUUCUUGAACAUUCUCUAGGGAUCUCUCGUCAUCCAGGCUUUAAUAUGAAGCACUGCGGCUCCUCUCUCCCUAACUCCCCCAGGAAUUCUGCCCACUCCUAGCUCAGAGAGCCCUUGGCUCCCUCCCCAGCUUUGCACAGCCAGAGCCGAACUGGGUAUACAAUGGGACCAAAACGAAUUAACUCCUUUAGAAGGGCCAGCUUUCCAAGAUACCUGCUUUAAAUGGUGAUCCUUUCCCUCUGUUUUACCAGUAAAGUUACAAUUAAUUAUAACUCAUUAGGAAGCAAAGGAUAUAUUCUCUCUGUAAGCUUACCCUCUGAUGUGUAGCAUUCUCUGCCUGCUAUUUUUAGGCCCCAAGUCUCCAACUCCAUGCAUAGCUAAAGAAAUAGACUUCCCUAACUUAGAUUCCCUCUUCCAACAGCAUUAGCCCUCUGGCUCUUAUAAAUAAUAUACAUAAUAUCCUUACUUUACCAGUUAUAACUGCUUCAAAUACCUCUGCCACCAAAUGGUCUAAACCAAGAAGCUUAACCUGGGUGGAGGAAUGCGCUAGAAAGCUAGACAAAACCACAAAACCUCUGUGAAUCCCUCAAACUGUAAGCAACUAUGUGCAUUUUUCUGAAAGAGGGUUUAUAAGUUUAAUGAGAUACCUCCCCAAAGGUUUUAACCACUUAUCAGUAGCCAGAGAGCAGGAAUGGAGCUCUUUAUCAGCAAUGCAGCCUAAGGUGCUAAGGUAGCCUUAAACCAGGUCACUCUUUAAUUGGCAGUUUGGGAAAGAGAAGAAAUCAUGAUUUUUAAAAUAGUAAGUUUUCAAAAAUAGCUGCUAUGAGAGUUGUAAAAAAUCAACAGGAGCCAAGAGCAGGGAAGAUGAAAAUACAAAUUCUUGUUUUUUAUAGAGAGUUUUAAAAAAAUGUGCUUCAAUAAGCUAGUGCCUAAUAGCUAAUGCCUUUAAAAAGACAUCAAUAAAGUGAUUCUGAAAUGCAGGCAUUUACUCCUAUACGUCACAUUCCGAAAAGUCUGGCUUUAUAAUCUUAAAAUAUUAACCAUAAAAACAAAGAUGAAUCAGAUACAUAGAUUUAUUGUAUUCACUGGAGAAUAGCUUUGCUCAGAUAAAACAAUUGCAACAAAUGAACCCAAAGUUAAGGAUGGAUGGAAGCCUAGAGCCAAUUAAAAUGAAAUGGGAAAGAGAUUUAAGUCUGAAAAUUGAAGAUAAGGGUUAGCAAUUAUCCUACCAUCUAACCAAACACACAACUGCUACUGUUCUGGAUGACUUGAUGUAUUUUUAAUUAUCAUAUCAAGAGUUUGACUCUACUUAGAAAAAUGAAAAACG